rnacentral:misc_RNA from 1 species
AGAAAGCCACCAAGGAACCCAAGUCUCCCACAAAGGCCACAAAGUCCCCCAAGAAGGCUUAAGUUCCCUUUUCUUCUUUAUCUCAGAGCCAAUUUAGGUGUUUAUCUCUUCUGCUCUUAAUGUAUGUAAUUUUGUGAUUAGGGUUCAGUUAUUUUGUUGAUGUUUAGGGGAAAGAUGAUGCAUCUCAAACAUUGUGUAGUCCUUUGAUCUUUAUGAUACUAUCUUAGAACUGACAUU